rnacentral:lncRNA from 1 species
CAAGUUUCAAAGUUAAUCUGCAACUCAUGUCCUUUGAGGCUUUUCUAACAGUUAAUUUUCUUCUUACAGUGUGAUGUGUCAGACUUGCUCUGGAUUCAUGGACAGGAAAACCCAUCUAAGUAAUGGAUGCUAUUCUUAAAAACAAACAAAUAAACAACCACCACUACCAAAACAAACAAACAAACACCAGAAGAUCAAACACUUUAUGUCUGGUUAUAAUUUGGAAUCUGUAUGUGAAGAAAGUUUCUUGGAAUCAAUACAUCAUGGAUUAUUCAAAUAUAAAAAAAAACAAAACAUAUGAACUGCAAUCCAGUUGAUAUUAAUGUGAUCUAUCCUGUUGCUUCAAUGUCACAUUUCAGUGGUUUAACAAUUGAUUUUAUAUUUCAAUAUCUUCUGGUGAAGCACAUAUUUAAAUGUAGCAUUGUAUAGUUCUCCACUUGACAUCACCUUCAUUCUCACGUCUUCAGUUAUUUUUUUUCUCCUUGUAUUGCUCAGAAUCCUGAAGCUGGUACCCAUGUCAUCAAUCUGUUUUAUCUUUUGCUACUCCAGUAAACAUCCAUAAAAAUUCAUUGGUAUAUCCCACAAUGAUGUCUGAGGCUGUUUUGAGCAGCAGUACCUGGUAGCUGUAACCUCUUACGCACCCAGGCAACGUAACUCCUUUGUAAAGCAGAAAGCAAUGCAGGGGCUUCUUCUUUCUCUGCUUCCAGGGAACAAGCACUGGAAAACAAAGCAGAAGAAAUUGGCUAAGACUGAAUUCUGCUACAGUCAACUUCUUGAGGGUGGGCUGGUUUUCAGUCUGACCCAUAUGCUGCACAGAAAAGGACAGAAGAAUAACAUCAGUUUUCGAAAUACGUCCACAGCUGGCUCAUUUCAGGCUUUAGAUUGUCAUCAAGAAAUUACUAUAUAUAACAUUUUGUUUGUACUCAGUGUGGAGAAAGAAAGAAGGAAGAUCAUGAACCUUGAGAAACAGCAAGUAGCCAUCUUCUCCUAGAAGAUGAGCUUACCAAGAGUACAGUGAAGCUGCUGAAAGAUCACCUGGCACAUAUGUUUCUGUGCAGGUAAGUGUCAGAGUCCAAUACUGUCUAACCAGAUUCUUUUACACCUUACAGGCAUAGAGGGUGCAAUGCUUAAUACCAAAUGUACUUAUCUGAACAUAUUUGAUGUUAACAUAGGGUUUCUGAUAUAGCAGAGUGAUUAAGUAUAUACUGAAAAUAAAACAGAAAUAUAAGUUACA